rnacentral:rRNA from 1 species
UUCACGGAGAGUUUGAUCCUGGCUCAGGACGAACGCUGGCGGUGUGCUUAACACAUGCAAGUGGUGCGACGAACCAGAGCUUGCUCUGGGGCAAAGCCGCGAACGGGUGAGUAACACGUGGGUAAUCUACCCCGAUGACCGGGACAACCCGAGGAAACUCGGGCUAAUACCGGAUGUGGUGCACAGGCAUAAGCCUGUUCACUAAAGGUAGCUUCGGCUUCCGCAUUGGGAAGGGCCCGCGGCCCAUUAGCUUGUUGGUGGGGUCAAGGCCUACCAAGGCAACGAUGGGUAGCUGGUCUGAGAGGACGAUCAGCCACACUGGGACUGAGACACGGCCCAGACUC